rnacentral:tRNA from 1 species
CGUCCUGUAGCUCAGCGGAAGAGCAGCCCGUUCACACCGGGCCGGUCCCGGGUUCGACUCCUGGCGGGACGAC